rnacentral:rRNA from 1 species
GACGAACGCUGGCGGCGUGCUUAACACAUGCAAGUCGAACGGAAAGGCCCUGCUUGCAGGGUACUCGAGUGGCGAACGGGUGAGUAACACGUGGGUGAUCUGCCCUGCACUUCGGGAUAAGCCUGGGAAACUGGGUCUAAUACCGGAUAGGAGCCAUUUUUAGUGUGAUGGUUGGAAAGUUUUUUUGGUGUAGGAUGAGCUCGCGGCCUAUCAGCUUGUUGGUGGGGUAAUGGCCUACCAAGGCGGCGACGGGUAGCCGGCCUGAGAGGGUGGACGGCCACAUUGGGACUGAGAUACGGACCAGACUCCUACGGGAGGCAGAAGUGGGGAAUAUUGCACAAUGGGCGCAAGCCUGAUGCAGCGACGCCGCGUGGGGGAUGACGGCCUUCGGGUUGUAAACUCCUUUCGCUAGGGACGAAGCUUUUUGUGACGGUACCUAGAUAAGAAGCACCGGCUAACUACGU